UGCAGUCGAACGAUAGUUUACCAGCUUGCUGGUAGCGAAAGUUGGCGCACGGGUGCGUAACGCGUAUGCAACCUACCUUAAUCAGGGGGAUAGCCCGAAGAAAUUCGGAUUAACACCGCAUAAAAUCACAGUACAGCAUUGUACAAUGAUCAAAUAUUUAUAGGAUUAAGAUGGGCAUGCGUGACAUUAGUUAGUUGGCGGGGUAACGGCCCACCAAGACCACGAUGUCUAGGGGAUCUGAGAGGAUGACCCCCCACACUGGUACUGAGACACGGACCAGACUCCUACGGGAGGCAGCAGUAAGGAAUAUUGGUCAAUGGAGGCAACUCUGAACCAGCCAUGCCGCGUGCAGGAAGACAGCCCUCUGGGUCGUAAACUGCUUUUAUUCGGGAAUAAACCACAUUACGUGUAAUGUGCUGAAUGUACCGAAGGAAUAAGGAUCGGCUAACUCCGUGCCAGCAGCCGCGGUAAUACGGAGGAUCCAAGCGUUAUCCGGAUUUAUUGGGUUUAAAGGGUGCGUAGGCGGCUUUUUAAGUCAGGGGUGAAAGACGGUGGCUCAACCAUCGCAGUGCCCUUGAUACUGAAGAGCUUGAAUGAAUUAGAGGUAGGCGGAAUGUGACAAGUAGCGGUGAAAUGCAUAGAUAUGUCACAGAACACCGAUUGCGAAGGCAGCUUACUAUGAUUUUAUUGACGCUGAGGCACGAAAGCGUGGGGAUCAAACAGGAUUAGAUACCCUGGUAGUCCACGCCCUAAACGAUGAAUACUCGCUGUUAGCGAUACACAGUUAGCGGCUAAGCGAAAGCGUUAAGUAUUCCACCUGGGGAGUACGGUCGCAAGAUUGAAACUCAAAGGAAUUGACGGGGGCCCGCACAAGCGGAGGAGCAUGUGGUUUAAUUCGAUGAUACGCGAGGAACCUUACCCGGGCUUGAAAGUUAGUGAAUCAUUUAGAGAUAGAUGAGUCCGCAAGGACACGAAACUAGGUGCUGCAUGGCUGUCGUCAGCUCGUGCCGUGAGGUGUUGGGUUAAGUCCCGCAMCGAGCGCAACCCCUAUGUUUAGUUGCCAGCACGUUAAGGUGGGGACUCUAAACAGACUGCCUGUGCAAACAGAGAGGAAGGAGGGGACGACGUCAAGUCAUCAUGGCCCUUACGUCCGGGGCUACACACGUGCUACAAUGGAUGGUACAGAGGGCAGCAAGCUGGUAACAGCAAGCAAAUCUCCAAAAGCCAUUCACAGUUCGGAUAGAGGUCUGCAACUCGACCUCUUGAAGUUGGAUUCGCUAGUAAUCGUAUAUCAGCAAUGAUACGGUGAAUACGUUCCCGGGCCUUGUACACACCGCCCGUCAAGCCAUGGAAGUUGGGGGUACCUAAAGUAUGUAACCGCAAGGAGCG
rnacentral:rRNA from 1 species